GAUGAACGCUGGCGGCGUGCCUAAUACAUGCAAGUCGAGCGAACGGACGAGAAGCUUGCUUCUCUGAUGUUAGCGGCGGACGGGUGAGUAACGCGUGGAUAACCUACCUAUAAGACUGGGAUAACUUCGGGAAACCGGAGCUAAUACCGGAUAAUAUUUUGAACCGCAUGGUUCAAAAGUGAAAGACGGUCUUGCUGUCACUUAUAGAUGGAUCCGCGCUGCAUUAGCUAGUUGGUAAGGUAACGGCUUACCAAGGCAACGAUGCAUAGCCGACCUGAGAGGGUGAUCGGCCACACUGGAACUGAGACACGGUCCAGACUCCUACGGGAGGCAGCAGUAGGGAAUCUUCCGCAAUGGGCGAAAGCCUGACGGAGCAACGCCGCGUGAGUGAUGAAGGUCUUCGGAUCGUAAAACUCUGUUAUUAAGGAAGAACAUAUGUGUAAGUAACUGUGCACAUCUUGACGGUACCUAAUCAGAAAGCCACGGCUAACUACGUG
rnacentral:rRNA from 1 species